rnacentral:lncRNA from 1 species
ACACGCACACAUGCACACACACAAAAUUCCCCGGAGUGAACUUUUGCCAACUGUACCAGGCUGGGACAUUCCUCACAUCAAAGAACUUUUACCAGAAAUGACUGUGAUUCCCAAGUCAGUCCCAAUCACACCUCUCUACUGCCCCCUACGGGACAUUCUUAGAAGAACUGUCUGGGGAAUGUAUUUUUCCAGCCCCAGACAGUGUUAACUUGGUGAGUUUUUGGAAUUCUUAGGAUUUUUUUCUUUUUAAUUCAGGACAAAUAAAUGCCAUAUAUUUAAAAGCGGUUAACUAGGAA